rnacentral:rRNA from 1 species
CGUGCGGUUCUAUUUUGUUGGCUUCUAGGAUCGCCGUAAUGAUUAAUAGGGAUAGUUGGGGGCAUCAGUAUUCAAUUGUCAGAGGUGAAAUUCUUGGAUUUAUUGAAGACUAACUACUGCGAAAGCAUUUGCCAAGGAUGUUUUCAUUAAUCAGUGAACGAAAGUUAGGGGAUCGAAGACGAUCAGAUACCGUCGUAGUCUUAACCAUAAACUAUGCCGACUAGGGAUCGGGCGGUGCUCUACUUAUGACCCGCUCGGCACCUUACGAGAAAUCAAAGUUUUUGGGUUCUGGGGGGAGUAUGGUCGCAAGGCUGAAACUUAAAGGAAUUGACGGAAGGGCACCACCAGGUGUGGAGCCUGCGGCUUAAUUUGACUCAACACGG